AGAUCUAAGAGACGCGCGGGAAGUUCGGAUCCCGCGUCCUGCCAAAGCUCUUUGCAGUUUAGUGGGGCGCUGGGUCUCUCACGAAUAAAAUUAAAAAAAAAAAGAGCAUCCUGUGCCCUCAAUACACGGUCCAUGAUUUUGGAAAUAUGGUGAUCCAAGCAUAAAGACCACAUGGAGAGAGAAAGGAAACAAAAGUUUCAAUCCUAACUUUGGAAGCAGUCAAUGCCAGAGAAUACAAUUUUAGAUAUGAAAUACAUUUAUGGGGAAUCCAGACUACAGAUCCUUACAUCUAAUCUGUGUCCCUGGAAGACUGUUGUUUAGGACUUUCUGAAGCUAAGAACCAGACCAAACAAACAAACAAACAAAAACAGAGCAAGGCCCCUUACUCAGAACUAGCCCUCCCCACUCCCAACACACACACACAUGUAUAUCCCAAGGCACUUUUUUCAGAUCCCAGUGUGGGGACAAUUCCUAGGAUUUUGAUCCCCCUACUGAUCCUACUACCGGUGCUAACGGUGACUCAAAGAGCACAUUGAUGGUUUCAACUCAAAGAAACAAUAUUAAGUAAUAGAAGAUGCAAGUCAAUAGCUGUGGAGUUCCUUAGCCUCUGUGAGCCUCAAUUUCCCUGCG